rnacentral:rRNA from 1 species
CUGGGCUGGGUGAGUGGCGAACGGGUGAGUAACACGUGAGUAACCUGCCCUCUUCUUUGGGAUAACGGUCGGAAACGGCUGCUAAUACCGGGUAUUCACUGUCCUUCGCAUGGGGGGUGGUGGAAAGGUUUUUUCUGGUGGGGGAUGGGCUCGCGGCCUAUCAGCUUGUUGGUGGGGUGAUGGCUUACCAAGGCUUUGACGGGUAACCGGCCUGAGAGGGUGACCGGUCACAUUGGGACUGAGAUACGGCCCAG